GCACUGGUGGUUAGGUGGUAGAUUUUUGCCUUGCAUGCAGGAGACAUGGGUUCAAUUCCUCACCAAUGCA
rnacentral:tRNA from 1 species